rnacentral:rRNA from 1 species
UACGAAGGGGGCUAGCGUUGUUCGAAUUACUGGGCGUAAAGGGCGCGUAGGCGGUGUGUCAAGUCAGGCGUGAAAGCCCCGGGCUCAACCUGGGAACCGCGCUUGAGACUGGCACGCUCGAGUUCGGGAGAGGAUGGUGGAAUUCCCAGUGUAGAGGUGAAAUUCGUAGAUAUUGGGAAGAACACCGAUGGCGAAGGCAGCCAUCUGGACCGACACUGACGCUGAGGCGCGAAAGCGUGGGGAGCAAACAGG